rnacentral:rRNA from 1 species
GAUGAACGCUGGCGGCGUGCCUAAUACAUGCAAGUCGAGCGAACAGACGAGGAGCUUGCUCCUCUGACGUUAGCGGCGGACGGGUGAGUAACACGUGGAUAACCUACCUAUAAGACUGGGAUAACUUCGGGAAACCGGAGCUAAUACCGGAUAAUAUAUUGAACCGCAUGGUUCAAUAGUGAAAGACGGUUUUGCUGUCACUUAUAGAUGGAUCCGCGCCGCAUUAGCUAGUUGGUAAGGUAACGGCUUACCAAGGCAACGAUGCGUAGCCGACCUGAGAGGGUGAUCGGCCACACUGGAACUGAGACACGGUCCAGACUCCUACGGGAGGCAGCAAUAGGGAAUCUUCCGCAAUGGGCGAAAGCCUGACGGAGCAACGCCGCGUGAGUGAUGAAGGUCUUCGGAUCGUAAAACUCUGUUAUUAGGGAAGAACAAAUGUGUAAGUAACUAUGCACGUCUUGACGGUACCUAAUCAGAAAGCCACGGCUAACUACGUG